rnacentral:rRNA from 1 species
UACGUAGGGAGCAAGCGUUGUCCGGAAUCAUUGGGCGUAAAGAGCUCGUAGGCGGUUUGUCACGUCUGCUGUGAAAUCCCGAGGCUCAACCUCGGGCCUGCAGUGGGUACGGGCAGACUGGAGUGCGGUAGGGGAGAAUGGAAUUCCUGGUGUAGCGGUGAAAUUCGUAGAUAUCAGGAGGAACACCGGUGGCGAAGGCGGCGACCUGGACCGGUACUGACGCUGAGACGCGAAAGCGUGGGGAGCAAACAGG